AUGCGUAAAAUCCCGACUGCAAGGAAGGGAUGUAUUUAUUAGAUAAAAAAUCAAUGCAGGCAACUGCUUCAUUGGUGACUCAUAGUAACUGAUCGAAUCGCAUGGCUUUAUGCUGGCGAUAGUUCAUUCAAAUUUCUGCCCUAUCAGCUUUCGACGGUAGUGUAGUGGACUACCGUGGCGUUAACGGGUGACGGAGAAUUAGGGUUCGAUUCCGGAGAGGGAGCCUGAGAAACGGCUACCACAUCCAAGGAAGGCGGCAGGCGCGCAAAUUACCCAAUCCUGACACAGGGAGGUAGUGACAAGAAAUAACAAUACCGGGCCUUUCCAGGUCUGGUAAUUGGAAUGAGUACAAUUUAAAAACCUUAACUAGGAUCCAUUGGAGGGCAAGUCUGGUGCCAGCAGCCGCGGUAAUUCCAGCUCCAAUAGCGUAUAUUAAUGUUGCUGCAGUUAAAAAGCUCGUAGUUGGAUUUCUGACUUGGCGCACCUGGCCCGCCACGGUUACGUGUGUGAGUGCCGGGAUGCGCCUGUCACUUUUCUGGUAAACUAUUGUGCUCUUCAUUGAGUGUGAUAGGUAGCCAGAUAUUUUACUUUGAAAAAAUUAGAGUGUUUAAAGCAGGCGUUUGCUAUGAAUACAUUAGCAUGGAAUAAUAACUUAGGACUUCGGUUCUAUUUUGUUGGUUCCUAGGACUGAAGUAAUGAUUGAUAGGGAUAGUUGGGGGUGCUAGUAUUCAGCGGCCAGAGGUGAAAUUCUCGGAUUCGCUGAAGACUAACUUAUGCGAAAGCAUUCACCAAGGAUGUCUUCUUUAAUCAAGAACGAAAGUUGGGGGAUCGAAGACGAUCAGAUACCGUCGUAGUCUCAACCAUAAACUAUGCCGACUAGGGAUGAGUGAACGUUGCAUUCUCGACUUCAUUCGCACCUUAUGAGAAAUCAAAGUCCUUGGGUUCCGGGGGGAGUAUGGUCGCAAGGCUGAAACUUAAAGGAAUUGACGGAAGGGCACCACCAGGAGUGGAGCCUGCGGCUUAAUUUGACUCAACACGGGGAAACUUACCAGGUCCAGACUCAGUGAGGAUUGACAGAUUGAAGWUCUUUCUUGAUUCUAUGG
rnacentral:rRNA from 1 species